AAGGUCGUAACAAGGUUUCCGUAGGUGAACCUGCGGAAGGAUCAUUAAUGAGAUCAUGCCCUUCGGGGUUAGGACCUCCCAGCCCCCACUGUUUCACCGUACCCGGUUGCUUUGGCGGUCCCGUCGCAAGACGGGCCGCCAUGAGGGACCUUUAAAAUCCCGUAUUAUCAUUGUCGUCUGAGUACUAUCAAUAGUUUAAAAACCU
rnacentral:misc_RNA from 1 species